rnacentral:rRNA from 1 species
AUACGGAGGGAGCAAGCGUUAUUCGGAAUCACUGGGCGUAAAGGACGCGUAGGCGGGUUUGUAAGUCAGGUGUGAAAUCCUACAGCUCAACUGUAGAACUGCACUUGAAACUACAGACCUAGAGUAUGGAAGGGGCAGAUGGAAUUAGUGGUGUAGAGGUAAAAUCCGUAGAUAUCACUAGGAAUACCAAAAGCGAAGGCGAUCUGCUGGGACAUUACUGACGCUGAGGCGUGAAAGCGUGGGGAGCAAACAGGAGUAGAAACCCCGGUAGUCC